rnacentral:tRNA from 1 species
AUCCAUUGUCGUCUUGCGGUUAGGAUAUCUGGCUUUCACCCAGGAGACCCGGGUUCGAAUCCCGUCAAUGGAAC